UGCUACACUCAAAAUAAUCUAAACGUCAUUACUACGUGGAAACUCACGUAGGUUCAUGAUAAUGAACCUUCCUCUGACUUUACCUGACUAAGGUAACAGUUACCGUUUCAUAAAUUAACGUUAUUUGUUGCUUUGAUAGUUUUCACUGCAUCAACCUAUCGACCUUACGUGAAAUCUACGUACAUGCUUUAAUUCAUUCCAAACGUGUUCAUCUUCGAUUCAUUUUGUGUUUUAUCAAAUGUAAAGAUGGCGUCAAGUGAAAAUAAACAUAAAGAUUUGAUGGACUUCCAAUUAAUUUAAUUAGUUACCUAUAUUAAAGUUAUUAUUUUAAAUGUUGUAGUAAGGAUUCCAUUAAUUAGAAUGUUACUUCUCAAUAGAUCAUCGGGCCAUUUUUUUUCUGAGUCGCAUCAUUGUUAGCAAUGCGGGUCAAAUUGGUACGUGGUACUGGAAGAGCUGAUGCUGGUCAAAAUGGUUUUCCCGUUUUUGAAAUUUAAACAAACGUUGCCUUUAACUAUGUGCCGAAGGAUUUUCGAGAACAUCGAGUCGAAACACACACAGACACACACCAAAACCAGACUAUCUUGUUACCUGAUUGUGUGAAAUACCUUAUUUUGAUCAAAACCGAUGGUUCAAUAAAUAAAAGUAAAACUUUAUGUAUUACUCGUUUUAUUGAAAAAUAACGUUAUUUAAAAAUAACAAUGCGAAAGCAGCAUUGCACCUACACAGAAUUUUAGUACAGUUUACCGGGAACAUACCUUAGGUUCUAUUCAACUACUUG